rnacentral:lncRNA from 1 species
AUGCAUGUAACAACUAGAGCCGUUGGCAACCGAUGCGCUCUCCGAGUCUCACAUCGCACUGAAGGAGAAAGGACUGACACCACGCAACACCCCCUCCAAGUCUGCGAGCAGCGCCUGCCUCCCUCUGCUGCUGCCGGGAGCCGCCGAGCCCCGCCGCCAGAAGGAGCCUCGCCUCGGCGCACACACUGCGGCAGCGGCCGCCCCGCUGCCGCCCGCCUCCGCCACAGCCUCCUGCCGGCAAACUUUCUCCGGCCGCUCCGCGCCGCUCCCCCCGGGGCGGGCAGGGAGCGGCUCGCUGCUGUCCGCUCUUACCUCGGCGCAGGAAGCGGAGGGAGAGUUUGGAGCCAACUUUCCUCUCUUCGCGGACUGCCCUUGGUCGCCGGGGGGGCGAGGGGGCCUCGGGGCCCGGGAGGAAGGCGAGGCUGGGGGCGGCGGGGGGCAGCAGGCAGCCGCGGCUUCUCCUCCAGCGCAGGCUCGUUCCGCUGUCCUCGCGGAAGGCGCCGGGUGGGGGAGCGGCCGCGGCCCUCCGCGCGAGCCCCGCCGCGCAGCCCCCGGGCCGGCGAAGCCUCCCCGGGCGCCGUCUCUGCCCGCCCCGCCCCGGGGGGGGAGGGACGACCGCCGUGGCGCAGUGUCGCUCCCUCCCCCGGCGCCCUCUCUCCGCGCAGCCCCCGCGCCGCCCGGCGGCAGGGAGCGAGUGCCGCGGCGCCCGCGCCGGGACGGCCCCCGGCUCCGGCGCCUCAGCGCCCCCCGCGCGUCGCCAGCCCCACGGAGCCGCCUCCCAGCCAGCGGCACCGGGGCCGCCCCGCCACCGCCGAGCCGGUCGCCGGGGCAACGCGCCGCUACAGCGGCCUCGGCGGGGCAAAAGAGCUUCCCGAGCGCGGCAAUAUGCGAACGCGACCGCUCAUCGCGAGGGCCGUUGCCCGCCUCGCGCCCCUCCGCGUGCCGCGGCAGCUCCCGGGCGCAGGGGCAGACGCGCAGCAGGGGGCUCUGCGCCAUCGCGGCCCGCCGCAGGCGCUUCUGUGCGGGGGCCGCUCCCUGGCGCACGAGCCCCGUCCGGGCUCCGGGCGCAACCCAGCCCCUCCUGCCGGGGGCCUCAGGCAGCACAGCCGGCCCCGCUCCACUUCCUCCCCUUCCACCGCCGUGGUCCCUGUGGAGCUCCCCCUCCACCACCACGGCUUCUACAGGGAUCCCCUUCCACUCCCAUGGCCUCCAUGGGCUCCCCUGCCACCGCUGUGGCCCCCACAGGGCCACCUUUCCACUGCUGUGACACCCUUGGCUUGA